ACUUUAUGGAUUUUCGUGGUUAAUUAAUUGUUUCUUCGAAAGCCUAACCUUAUCAUUUAAUGUUCUUUUCUCUAUUUUAAUGUUGAUGGGAAUCUAGUGACCAUUUAAUUAGUUACUUACAUUACCGACAAUUAAGAUUGUUACUGUUAAUUGACAACAAACACCAAGACCGUUUGUGUGUCUAUAGACAAUAACACCUCCUAUUCAAUCAUUUUGUUGUUUUUCUUGUGACAAUUAACCUUUAAUUGUAUUAAUUUCUGGCAUCAUCAUCAUCGUCAUCAAGUGUAUAUAUUUUAAUAAUUAGCAAAAUGAAACAAUUUAAUUGGAUUAAAGUUAGUGACGAUAAAAUAAUCAAGUGAAUCAACAAAUUGAAAGAUUACCUGUGACCUUAACAAUCAAAUUAUCUCUCUCAUUCUAUUCUAAUGGAUCAAUUGGAUUCUCUUUUCAGAUUUGGUAACAGUUUCUCCCGGAGAAAUAAUCAAAGGAUAUUAAUUGUCAUUGGAAUUAAAUUUAAUUAAGGAACAUAUAAUGAUGGUGAUCGUAUAAUUGGAUUGAAUAUGAUAUCAGCUCAAUUUCCUGAUUGUUAUAUUUCAUCUUCUCCUGAUCAUGAUCAAGUUAUUUUCGAUUAACUUGAGAAGGUCAAUAACAAUAGAAUCGGAAUAUCAAUAUAUCAUCAGAAGAUUAUAAUUAUCAUGAUGAUGAUUAAUACUAAUCAAGUUUUCCUUUUCUCUCUCACUCUCGGUAUGAUUACUUGUCAUCAUUAUCAUCAUCAUCAUCUUGGUGUUUGUUUACUUGAAACUUUCAAAAGUAUCGUGAUCAUUUGAUUUGGAUAUUGUUGUCAAUUGAUUGUUGAACAUCAGGAUAAUUGAUUAUCGUAAAAAUUUCAAUUCCAAUCUGAUAUAAUCAAAAAUGGAGAAGCAAAAAGAAAAAUGAACAAUCUGAUCAACAAUCAACAUCAAUAUUCAACCAACAACAAUUAACUUGAUGACAUUUGAUUGCGUUACCUCCGUUGAAAGUAAUAAGUAACCGAAAGACAAUUAAAUUAACUGAUUUAUUAUACAUUCAAUUAUCAUGUAAUCAUCACCAAUCCAUAUAACAACAACAACAACAACAACAUAAAAUGAAUACCUGAUACAAUUAACAUACUCAACAAUCAAUAACCUUCAGCAACAAUCAAGGAAUCACAGGAAUCUUGUUUAAACAAAUUUACCUUGUUAAUCACUAAUUAUACGGAAAAAAGGACAUCAAACAAUCAAAUUUAAUUUCGUACAAUUUAAUUGAUCAGAUGAAACUAAUACAUUUACUAAAAGGGAACAAGAAGUUUCAAGAAUCAAUGAUGAAUUAAUCUGCAAAUUGUCAGGAAAUUAGUUCAAGGACAAUACGAAGAUGAUAUUCCUGAGAAAUUUAAUUCGAUUGUGAUUUUUUUCACUAAUCAAUUAGUUGAUUAACUUCUAUGUUUUCUAUCAGCGUUUUGUUUCUUCAAAUCAAACAACAAUUAACUCCUGGAAAGUUAAUCAACAUCGCAAUUAAUAUUCACUGACUGUUAAUCUAAAUGACUGAAAUUGCCUUCUAAUCUGAUGAUUACAAAAUUUUGCUCUUAAUUUAGUUUCGUGAUCAACAAUUGAUCAGAAACAACAAAAAGGUAAACAAUUAAAUCUGUUAAUUGUUAAUUUGAUUGUUUCUUGUUGUAUGUAACCUUUUUCAUUUACAAGUAACAAUAAUUGGGAACAAUUAGCAAAUUAAUCAUAAUCAUGAAUAUUAAAUCAUGAUCACAAUUAACAAGUUUUGAUCUUUGAAUUUA